ACGCUCGACACCUACGGGAGGCAGCAGUGGGGAAUAUUGCACAAUGGGGGAAACCCUGAUGCAGCGAUGCCGCGUGAAGGAAGAAGUAUCUCGGUAUGUAAACUUCUAUCAGCAGGGAANAAAAUGACGGUACCUGACUAAGAACGCCCCGGCUAACUACGUGCCAGCAGCCACGGUAAUCUGAGCGGGCUGGCAAGGC
rnacentral:rRNA from 1 species